UUACCUAGCAAAAUUAGUUCCUGAUUCCAGGAAAUAUGUUUUGGCUACUUUCUGGAUUCCUGAUUCAAAAUAUCUGUUCCUGCUAAUGACAUAAUGGGAAACGCUAUAUCAAAUUUGGCAGGAUGUGUUCAAGUGGCCAAUGAGGCAGUUCAAGGAACGGCAAGGCAAUCUGCUUGCCGGCCUUCGGCCACCGCUGUUUCUGCUGGUGUUUCCACCAUUUCACCUGGAGAUUUAUGGAUGCAUCUGGAUUUAGUCAAAUAAGAGCAGCGUGAAUCUACAGCCAUUGCUGACCAAACAACAACAGACUAAUCUAUUGUAAAUGCAGACCUGAUUGAGGCCACCAUAAAUCACAAGAUGCAGCCUUUUGAUUAUUCAAAGACCAAGGCCCACCAUCUGGCCAGCGCUCACACCGUUUUUUUUUUUUUUUGCUAAUGAGGACCUUGGAUACCCGCCCACUAUUGUGUUAUCUUGAGGAAUAUUAAAACAGAAAGAAACUCACUCUUGGCCCACGGGCCAUAUUUAAGAUGUAUAUCAGAUUAGCAAUUUUUCCUUUCUCGAUUUACUGAUGUUGCUUGGGUUAUUUUGAUAUCGCCAUGACUUCUGGAGGAACAGAUAUCUUCGACAUUUUUUUCCUUCCUGCCUGGUAGCCCAUCAGUGAGUUCACAUGUGCAAAUUCGUCAUGUAGGUGACAAGUUGUAUACAUGAAACAGUUCCAACAUCACAGGCACCUUCUGUAUUUUCAUGAACGGCAGUACUUUUGAAAGGAGGCUGUUUAUACAUAUAUAUUUUAUCCUUUUAAUUGUGAGUAUCUUGUGUACCUUAUGCCGGCCUAUGACUGCAAUAAAGAUUGACUGAUUGAUUAUACAUCCGUGGUGAGCACACACGAUGAUUGUUUUCCAAUCCUGCCACUGCCGAACGUUUUUUUCAUGGUUAUUAAAGCUGAAAACAUUCAUA